rnacentral:sRNA from 1 species
CAUUUUGAUGUCUAGAAUCAGGGGAUCCAGGAUCAUCACCAAGGUCAUUUUCCCAGGUAUGGAGGGGUCUUUCUGCUUCUUUCUUGUCAUGCACAGCUGCUGAGGAAGGGGCUGGGAGAAAAGACAGUGAAAUGGGGAGGAGGAGUCCGUUCAAACUGAGAAACAAAGUGUUUGGUUUUUCUUACGCCUGAUAUAGAAGCUACCAACUUUUUCCAAGAAAGAGGGCCUGGCCCACUUCUCGGGUCUGGCUGGGUGCCUGCUGUGCCUCUCAGGCCUCCCCUCCGAAGGGCACCAUUCUCUUGGGUGAGUACUAGUGGCCUGCACUGUCUUCCAGUGGAGACAGCCUGAGAAGGGAGUCUGGAGCCUUGAACUUCAGUACCUUCCUUCACUGGCCUCACCCUGUGCAAAUCAUGCCACACACUGGAGCCUCCUUUUCCCUAUCUAUAAAAUAAAAAUGACCCUGCUCUAUCUCACUGGGCUGGCAAGAACACACUGUUGUUGCCUUGCAGACAGAUGUGCUGAGGCUGUAGAAAGUGCUUUUUAUUUGGUUGGGAGCUUGUGCAUAAAUGUGAGAGGGGCUGCACAUCUGACGGACUAGAGGUGACUCAUGGCUGAACCGGAACAGGACAUCGGGGAGAAGCCAGCAGGUGAGUCUGGGAGUCCUGUUCCCAACAUGGUCCUCAAGGAUGAUGGGACAGGGGGCUGGGGAAGGCUGGGACAUGGGUGAUGCUGUGGCCAGCAGUGCCCCGUGGCCUCCCCCACUCUGCCAGUGGGGUAGUGAAGAGUAGAGCAACUAGACCAAAGGUCCUUUCAGAAGGAAGCAAGUCUCUGUAGCUACAAUAAAUAAUAAUAGCAGCUGGCAAUUACUGGUGCUCACAACUGCAAGGAAGUUGUACCUUCUGUGUACUUUCUCAUUGACUUCUUACAAUCUGGUGAGGUAGGAUUGUUAACCCCAUUUUCAG